rnacentral:rRNA from 1 species
UACGGGGGGAGCAAGCGUUGUUCGGAUUUACUGGGCGUAAAGGGCGCGUAGGCGGUCGUGACAAGUCACUUGUGAAAUCUCCGGGCUUAACCGGGAAACUGCAUCGGAAACUGGUCGGCUUGAAGGUGGGAGAGGGUAGCGGAAUUCCCGGUGUAGUGGUGAAAUGCGUAGAUAUCGGGAGGAACACCAGUGGCGAAGGCGGCUACCUGGCCCAUUCUUGACGCUGAGGCGCGAAAGCGUGGGGAGCGAACAGG